rnacentral:rRNA from 1 species
UACGGAGGGUGCAAGCGUUGCUCGGAAUCACUGGGCGUAAAGGGCGCGUAGGCGGCCUAGCUAGUCAGGUGUGAAAGUCCAGGGCUCAACCCUGGAAGGGCACUGGAAACUGUUAGGCUUGAGUGUGGGAGAGGAGGGGGGAAUUCCCGGUGUAGAGGUGAAAUGCGUAGAUAUUGGGAGGAAUACCGGUGGCGAAGGCGGCGCUCUGGUCGAAAACUGACGCUGAGGCGCGAAAGCGUGGGGAGCAAACAGG